rnacentral:rRNA from 1 species
GGGGGGGGGGGGGGGGGGGGUGGACGCGGGCGGGGCGAAGGGAAGGGCGCUGCUUUGGUGGGGUGCUCGAGUGGGGAACGGGUGAGGAACACGUGAGUAACCUGCCCGUGACUUUGGGAUAACUUCAGGCAACUGGGGCUAAUACCGGAUAGGGGCUCCUGCUGCAUGGUGGGGGUUGGAAAGUUUCGGCGGUUGGGGAUGGACUCGCGGCUUAUCAGCUUGUUGGUGGGGUAGUGGCUUACCAAGGCUUUGACGGGUAGCCGGCCUGAGAGGGUGACCGGCCACAUUGGGACUGAGAUACGGCCCAGACUCCUACGGGAGGCAGCAGUGGGGAAUAUUGCACAAUGGGCGGAAGCCUGAUGCAGCAACGCCGCGUGCGGGAUGACGGCCUUCGGGUUGUAAACCGCUUUCGCCUGUGACGAAGCGUGAGUGACGGGAAUGGGUAAAGAAGCACCGGCUAACUACGUG